AUCACCCGGUGGAGCUAGCGCCCCUGUACAAACUGACACCAUUGUAGAAAUACUGCAGUCAUGCAGAUGGGAGAGGAUUAUGACGAUGGAGGACAGUCGGGCUUAGCAACAGCUGGUCCAUUCAGAAAGGGAAAAGGAGCAACAGUUGAGAGGCCAAUCACCAAGCGAGACAACACGACUGAGCCACCCCACCACGGCAGCACGUGACACCCAGAACCCAGGCGAUCCAGUGCAACCACGCAUGCUACACCGACAUGCUGCAGGGGAGGCUCAGUGCUGACGCAUCCUUGAAAGAGACAGCUGCUGCUCACUGCACCAUUUCUCUCCUCCCACACUCUGCAAGCAUGCAUGUUACAGGAAACAAACACAUGUAACAAGACUCCUGCAUGCUGCAUUACUGCAUUAAUAAAGGAGCUAUGCUUUGCAAAAAGAAAAAG